rnacentral:rRNA from 1 species
CCGGAUUUAUUGGGUUUAAAGGGUGCGCAGGCGGACUAAUAAGUCAGAGGUGAAAUUUUGCAGCUUAACUGUAAACGUGCCUUUGAUACUGUUAGACUAGAGUUUAAGGGACGUAACCCGGAAUGUGAUGUGUAGCGGUGAAAUGCAUAGAUAUGUCACAGAACGCCGAUCGUGAAGACAGGUUACGAACUUAAUACUGACGCUCAGGCACGAAAGCGUGGGGAUCAAACAGGAUUAGAUACCCUGGUAGUACACGCUGUAAACGAUGAUCACUCGUUGUUGGUUAGUAAUAAUCAGUGGCCAAGCGAAAGCGUUAAGUGAUCCACCUGGGGAGUACGAUCGCAAGGUUGAAACUCAAAGGAAUUGACGGGGGCCCGCACAAGCGGAGGAACAUGUGGUUUAAUUCGAUGAUACGCGAGGAACCUUACCUGGGCUUAAAUGGGGAGUGACAGCUGCUGAAAGGUGGUUUUCUUCGGACACUCUCCAAGGUGCUACAUGGUUGUCGUCAGCUCGUGCCGUGAGGUGUCGGGUUAAGUCCCAUAACGAGCGCAACCCUUACUGUUAGUUGCCAGCGCGUCAAGGCGGGGACUCUAGCGGGACUGCCACCGUAAGGUGAGAGGAAGGUGGGGAUGACGUCAAAUCAGCACGGCCCUUAUGUCCAGGGCUACACACGUGUUACAAUGGCCGGUACAAAGGGCAGCUACACCGCGAGGUGAUGCUAAUCUCCAAAGCCGGUCCCAGUUCGGAUCGAAGUCUGCAACCCGACUUCGUGAAGUUGGAUUCGCUAGUAAUCGCGCAUCAGC